UACGUAGGGGGCCAGCGUUGUCCGGAUUUAUUGGGCGUAAAGCGCGCGCAGGCGGUCGUGCAGGUCGUUCGUGAAAUCCUUCGGCUCAACCGGGGGGGGUCGGACGAAACCGUGCGGCUGGAGGUCGGUAGGGGGAAGCGGAAUUCCCGGUGUAGUGGUGGAAUGCGUAGAGAUCGGGAGGAACACCAGUGGCGAAGGCGGCUUCCUGGGCCGAACCUGACGCUGAGGCGCGAAAGCGUGGGGAG
rnacentral:rRNA from 1 species